GACGAACGCUGGCGGCGUGCCUAAUACAUGCAAGUAGAACGCUGAAGGAGGAGCUUGCUUCUCUGGAUGAGUUGCGAACGGGUGAGUAACGCGUAGGUAACCUGCCUGGUAGCGGGGGAUAACUAUUGGAAACGAUAGCUAAUACCGCAUAACAGUAGAUAUCGCAUGAUAUCUACUUGAAAGGUGCAAUUGCAUCACUACCAGAUGGACCUGCGUUGUAUUAGCUAGUUGGUGAGGUAACGGCUCACCAAGGCGACGAUACAUAGCCGACCUGAGAGGGUGAUCGGCCACACUGGGACUGAGACACGGCCCAGACUCCUACGGGAGGCAGCAGUAGGGAAUCUUCGGCAAUGGACGGAAGUCUGACCGAGCAACGCCGCGUGAGUGAAGAAGGUUUUCGGAUCGUAAAGCUCUGUUGUAAGAGAAGAACGAGUGUGAGAGUGGAAAGUUCACACUGUGACGGUAUCUUACCAGAAAGAGACGGCUAACUACGUG
rnacentral:rRNA from 1 species